AGUAGCCACCCGUUCGUUGCCUUGACAGCUUUGCACACUCUUGUCAUUGGGUGUGUGCCACUCCAAUGCUUGUUAACGACAUGGUUGUGCUGUGAAGAUUGUUAGAUUUGAGAAGGGUCAGUGCUAUCCGGGAUCAUUGGGAAGUCCCUUAACCUUUGAAGUGGACAUUUAAAACGUUUAAAGGUAGAGGCUAAGGUGAGGGUUUUAGUGUAGGGACGUCCCAAGGACACCGGAUAGAACUGACCGUUUGAGAAGUGCGCUCCUCUCACCGCUUUUGGCGGUUCACUGUAACGGACCAUAGACCUGUGCACUGCAUCGAUUACGGACAUUACGUUUCCUUUCCACGCGUGUCACCGUGGUCAAAGCACCUUUUCUUUCCUAAAACCUUUGUCGCGUUCAAAAAAACUGGGAAUUCGGAUGCAUCCCGUCUUCAUUGCGUCCAUAACAACUGGAAACUCGGGGAAAAAUAGCUCCGACUGGGUAAAAUCGUUUUGAACAGUCGUCCAAAGAAGAUCACUGACGUUGACCACGUUUUGUACCAGUUACCAGUUGACUUGAAAGCACCAUACAUUCUCCGAGCUACACUAGUGGACACGAUUAUCGGUAAUAUUACAGCAACAAAGCCAUCCGGACGCGGGGAGGCAAGCUGGGACUGACUACCACAUGAGUGAGAAUACCGGGGAAAGUCUAAUUUAACGGUAUUUCUCCGGUAUAGGCUAAGCGGUAGAGCCUACAGACAAAAAUAGAAGACAAUAUGAUAAGCAGAUCAUCUUUUGCUGACUCGAAUAUUCUACACACUUUCUGUCAGCAACAAUGGAAUUUAGUUUUAUAUUGCCUAUUCUCUUUACGUUUCUUGCUACUACUCUGGUGACCUCAUUGUUCAGUAACAACGAUACUCUGCUGCUGACUCGCCCUCUGGCUUUGCAGCAUCCAAAGCAGAUCACUCACGGGAGGAGGGAGCGAUGAGGUGAAAACUGGAUUAGUUAAAUCAGGACCGUCGGUAAAUCUUACGGAGAAACAGGGGACAGUAGCAGGGCUAACCUCUGCGGACAAACCGGAGGAGGACAGUGAAUGCCGAUUCGUGGGGAAGAUAACGGAUCCGGUGGCAGCGGACAGAAGGACAGUUUGGAAGGAGGGGAUCCAAGCUGCCGUGCACGUGCAAAUGUCUGGCCAACAGUGCUGGAACUCAAACCCCGCCUCAGCGCCGGUGGACAUUCCAGGAAGAUACUUUGGUCACCUACAGUUCCCUGAGGGGGGGUCUUUUCUCUUAGCAGAUAUGGAAGAAGUGGAUGUAGAUUGUGCGCCCAUGAAAUACGCCCCCAGGAUGUAGCGGACCAGCCAGAUGGAGAAGAUGAGGAGCUGGAGGAGGAACAGCGGUCUGUACUGGACUGGGCAGCAUCUCAAUACUCUGACGUGGCUUCCUCUCCUAGUCUCCUCUCCUUUCCCCUUAUUUAAGUGCCACUGCUUACCAGCAGUAACUGGCCAUGUCCAAAUACCCAUACUUGUGUUCUAAAUAGUAGGCUUUUUGGGUAUGCCAAAAUAUGUUUUAUAGGAUGUGAGAUUUAGAAAAUGUAGUUAAGGCCAGGAUGUCAUACUAAUUUCAGCUUUUCAUCUCGUAGAAUUUGCAGCACACUGUUGAGGAAGACGAUAGUCUUUUGAGACCCACAUGCGUUUGACAACAGCUAAUUAUCCAAAUAGUGAAUGUGGCGUGGAACAAGCGCCAUUUUGCAUUACAUGACGCCUUCUCAGUAUGAAUGAGCUUAGAAUGUUCAUCUUUGUUGCUUACUGCAUACAUUUUUACAAAAAAAGUAUGUUCUAAAUACUAUGUAGUAUGAUUAGUACACAGUAUGUAGAUUUCAGAUGUAGUAGACGACAGAUUUCAGACACAGCCAUUGUAAAUAGUCUUUCCAACUCACUAUAACCCUCUCCUGUCCAGUGUCCUCUGCUACCUUACAACCCCUCUCCCUUUCUCCAAGUGUCAGUGAGUGUUGUCUCUGUGAGGUGAUUUUGCUUAGCAGCUACUUCUAUCCACGGCACCACUGGGGACUUAGGACUGACCAAGGCUCCGAAAACAAGGUGAAAGAAAGAAAGAGGAGGAAACCCCCCAACGAGUUGAGGGAGAAACACAAAUCAGACCUUGGAUCAGUGUUGGAGGGCAGCUUAAUUUUACUCCAGCAGAAACCCAGGCCUGGUGUCUGUCUGUAACAUCUGUAUUCAGAGACUCCACCAGGCCUGGUGUCUGUCUGUAACAUCUGUAUCCUGAUCUCUAUUUCUGCAGGGUAGAGUUCACCACUGACUUUACCUCUCUGUAAGCCGAUCAGACAGACAGACAGACGGACGGGCGGGCGUUGUAAUAAAAGCAUGGGUGCAAUGGGAGCAGCUGGCAGCCAUCUUCCAGCUGCUGAAGGAGAACCAGGAGACAUUUGGGGAGGUGUCAGAGGGAGACGUGGAGGAGCGACUCUACUCCAUCUAAACCCCUAGUCUACUCACAGUCGACUGUACUACGUCUAACUCUACUUUCCCCAAACUCUACUCUAUGUUAAUCCCACAUAAAGCUCACAAUGAAGAUUAAGGUGCAUUCACAUGGUCCACUGGGUUUCAAAGGGGGUGUUGUUUCAAAGGUCCACUCUGUUUUGAGGCACAUACUCUUCUCUAAAGAUUCUGAGGUGAUGGCAAAUCAGGCUUUGGAUAGUUGGGCCUGACUGAUUUGAUUGGUCUGAUAAAAUAUGAGGUUCUUACAUCGUACACACCCAUGAAAGCCAACAGUUUCAGCAAGCCUCACAUCAAACUCUUAUCUGAACAGAUCUUUCUCCUUUCAGCUAUUCCCUGCCUUGCCUCGGCCGUAUCCUUAUCUCGUCCAUUGCUAUCUCUCCUCAACCUUUCCCAUGGAGCACCCUUUCCCAUGGAGCACCCUUUCCCAUGGAGCACCCUUUCCCAUGGAGCACCCGUUCCCAUGGAGCACCCUUUCCCAUGGAGCACCCGUUCCCAUGGAGCACCCUUUCCCAUGGAGCACCCUUUCCCAUGGAGCACCCUUUCCCAUGGAGCACCCUUUCCCAUGGAGCACCCUUUCCCAUGGAGCACCCUUUCCCAUGGAGCACCCUUUCCCAUGGAGCACCCUUUCCCAUGGAGCACCCUUUCCCAUGGAGCACCCUUUCCCAUGGAGCACCCGUUCCCAUGGAGCACCCUUUCCCAUGGAGCACCCUUUCCCUCUAGACGCCUCUGUUUGAACAAACACAUCAUUGGUGCGAACACAAACAUGUACAUUAGAUACUCCAACACGGCUUCUGCUGUUUAUUACUUUUAUAUACCAUUCAAAGCAAUAAACACUGUGUAUUUGAUACAAGUAAUGGCGUCAUCGUUGUGUCAAUUCUGGAUUUUGUCGUCUCCCCUGUAUGUGCAAGUGUGUGGCUGGCAAUGUAAUCUGACUAAAUGUCUGUAAUAAUAAUAAUAAUCAAUAAUAGAUUUUAUUUGUAGAGACCUUUUCGUUUACAGACAGAAAUCA